rnacentral:tRNA from 1 species
GCCGCAGUAGCUCAGAUGGUAGAGCACGACAUUCGUAAUGUUGGGGUCGGGGGUUCGAGUCCCUUCUGCGGCACCA